CUCUGUUUCUGUGACCUCAUCCUCCCAAAGGUUUUGCUCUAUUCUGAUGGGUGCCAUCUCCAUACUUCCAGCCUGGAUGUCCCAAACUUCAGGACACCAUGUGGAGUAAUCUGGACUUUUUCCUAUCAGCAUCCUCUAGGUUAUUUGGAUGAAAUGCUUAUUUCUUUUUUAACAUAAGCAUUGACUGGAAAUAUUGGUUAUUCUGUCUGAUAUUACAUGAAGGUCAGAUGCCCUCCAUGCAACCAUGAGGUCGGAUGGCAGUUUGAUGCUGAACCAGCAAACAAGCCUACUCAGCAUGAAACUAUGAGUAUAAAAACCUUUAUGAUGACCUACCUCCACUUGGAUCAAUGAAGAGAAGAAGAGUUGUGGACAUAGACACAUACAGAGAGAAGACCAUGUGAAGUCACAGGGAGAAGACAGCCACCUACAUACCAAGGAGAGAGGCUGUACAAGAAACCAACCCUGAUGACACCUUGAUCUUGGACUUCCAGCUUCCAGAUUUACAGGAAAAUAAAUUUCCGUUGUUUAAGCCACACAGUCUAUGGCAUUUUGUUAUGGCAGUUCUAGCAAACUAAUAUACAGCCUAUAUCAUAUACUACUCAGUUUGACUACUUUUAUUUUGGAACAUAUUAUACUUUUGCUACUUUUGCUUAUGCAGUUUCUUUUGCUUAGUGUCCCUUGCUAGUAGAUAUUUAUAUUUAAAGAUAUUUUAGGCCUGGCACAGUGGCUCACACCUGUAAUUCCAACACUUUGGCAGGCUGAGGUGAGUAAAUCACUUGAGGCCAGGAGUUUGAGAUCAGCCUGGCUAACAUGGCGAAACCCCUUCUCUACUAAAAAAUACAAAAGUUAGCUGGGCGUGGUGGCGGGUGCCUGUAAUCCCAGCUACUUGGGAGGCUGAGGCAGGAGAAUGGCGUGAACCUGGGAGGCGGAGCUUGCAGUGAGCCGAGAUUGUGCCACUGCAAUCUGGCCUAGGCUAAAGAGCGGGACUCCGUCUCAAAAAAAAAAAAAAAAAAAAAAAAGUAAUUUCUCCCUCUUCUACAUUUCUUUUGUAAUUUUCCCUUACUUCUAAUAAAGCAACCAUCACAUUAUAUUUUUAUUUCUCCUGUAAAAUUGCACCAGUCCUCAAAGAAAAGAUCAGAGCAGUGACAAGAGUCAAGUCAGACAUGGUGGUUGCUUGGAAUGGUAUGAUGACAGUGUUGGUGAAAAUACAUGAAAAGAGGUAGAAUUGAUGACUGUGGUGGUUUAUAAAACGUAGGGAGACAAGUUAGAAGUCCAUAUGAAGGAUGCAGUCCUGGAAUGAGGAUGCUGUCAUCUGGGACCAUAAGACAUGAAGACAAGAGUGGCGUUAUGAACUGAAAGGAGCCAGGAGCUUUGUUGGAAUAGAACCACCCUAUUAACCCUGGACUUCCUGCCUGGGCUAAUUUGCAUUUGAGAGAGAAAUAAACUACUGUACAUAAGCCACUGCAAUUUGUUUUCCCACUUGCCGUCAAUAUAAUCCUAACGGAGAGAGCAGACAACAAGGUAUUAUUGAGUUAAGAUGAGAAACAGGGGACAUUAAGAGGAGGUAAAAUCCUUUACUUCCAAAUGUUGCUGUUCGCUGACGCUGGUGAAUAGCCAUGUGACAAUGAAACCCAACCAAAAAUUGAGGAGCCAAAAUAAUAGAAGAUGGGUGAAGAUGAGGAGGAAAAGCCUUCAUUGGAAGAGCAAGCUGACUCCCCCAUGACGUAAAGCAUAAAAUAGGUGUUCCUGAUUGAUGGAAAGCUGUCUUCCACAGGGUGAUUCAGGGCCCAGAUUUCUUUCAUCAUCAACACUUGGCUUCCCAAACAGUCAUUAUUCAUCUACACUGAGCUAACAGAAGAAGAAAGAACAUGAAGAAUGGUGCCAGGAGAAUUAAGUGACCAAAAUCAUCUGAAAGUCCUUAAGUCCAUGAAACUACACUCAGGAGAAGAUUAUCAUGUAAAGGAGAGGUGCAUUGUGUUUGGGGAACAAAUGCCCAUGGAAAUAGUGAGUGCAGAAAGUUACAGAGCUUUGCAUCUAGGCCCUCUAGUAGAGUUUGCAAAUGAGAUCGCCCUACAGAUGGAGAAUUUGGGAGCAUCAUGCUGCGACGCCACCUCUUGGCUAAUGCAUGUGGAUUGUCAGGCGACAGAGGGAACUCUGAUCAACCAACACUGACUUUUGGUACAGAAUCCCAGUGGAAAUCACCCAAGGGAAAGCAGACGACUAGUGUGCCUUAUGGGGAAGCAUUUUCUAUAUUUAGUGACCAAACUUUCAUUGCCUUUGGAGAAUGAAAUCCGUGCUUCUUUUUUAGAGUGGUUGUUUUGAGUGGUAGUCAACAUGGGGGAGAGAUGGUGUUACUUUCUAAAUGGAGUAAAAGAUGAGCAAGAUAAGCAACUUCCACCACAUAGCAGCAGGUAUGAAGACAACUGGUGCCUGUCUCCAGCAUUCAACUAAACAGUCUCUUGCCAAGAACCUCACCUUUGGCCUGUGUAGAGCCGUUUUCACUGGGUCAGAGCAGAGGUCAGUACAUCGACCCAAUCACCCCAUAGCAUCUUGGCCAACCAAGGGGUGCUAAUUAGAUCCAAUUGUGAUGAAGGUAGAGGGAAGUUUCCCUCACUGCACUGACCACCCCCCCGCCCCCGCCCGAGUGAUUUCCUUGUCUUAGAGGCCACGGGGGUGGGGUAGGGGGCUAUUCUUCACCUCAUCUGUCCAUGGCUAGCUGGGUAUGUAGCAGCUGAUUCCGUUCUUAGCCUCAAAUUCUCAAGGCCUCCAGAUCUAAGGGAUUGACACUGACUUCAUGCCUCCUCCAAAUAUAGGAAAGUUCCCAAUUUGUAAUUCAGAAUGUAGAUGUUUGGGGAUGGAAGAAGAAAACCAAAAUAUAAGUACCAGCUAUUGGUCCAAUGUCCGCUAUGCUUUGGAAGUCAUACUGAUAUUGGUAAGGUGUGGCAAAUGUCAGCACCACUGCCCACCACCCACCUGCCCUUUCUCUUAUGGAUACAAUGCAUUAAUUCAUAAGAGGCAUUUCAGACAAACGCCGGAAAGUAAUUUAUCAGGGUUCUUCCAGGGCUUCCAGCUAUAAUUGUUUUAAAUCCAACAAAUUUGCUAUAGGCAAAGGCCCCCAAACUACCCUAAGACAUAUUCCUAAAUUUCCAGAGCUUAAAAAUCAAUGUGCUUAAAAAAAUAAAAACAGAAAAUGCCAGCUGCCUUUGCAAACAAGGACACUGGGAAACAAAUAUAAUUGUGUUUUUUCCUUCUACAUCCGUCCGGGAACUUCGACUGCUACUAUGCUACAUCAGGUAUGCAAUGAAAGACAAACAACGAGGACUCCAAACAGAAGAGGGGAGCUUCAGUAACUGUAGUUUUUAUGUUAGGGAGAGACUGAGAGAGAAAGGAGCAUUGUAUCUCGGAUUAACAGAACUGCAGGAUUUCAUUAAUGACAGCCCAGCUUUUUAGCAAAAGGAAGAUAGUUAGGGCAGUAAAAGAGAACAUGAC
ensembl:lncRNA novel transcript